rnacentral:rRNA from 1 species
CCUACGGGAGGCAGCAGUGGGGAAUCUUGCGCAAUGGGCGAAAGCCUGACGCAGCCAUGCCGCGUGAAUGAUGAAGGUCUUAGGAUUGUAAAAUUCUUUCACCGGGGACGAUAAUGACGGUACCCGGAGAAGAAGCCCCGGCUAACUUCGUGCCAGCAGCCGCGGUAAUACGAAGGGGGCUAGCGUUGCUCGGAAUUACUGGGCGUAAAGGGAGCGUAGGCGGAUAGUUUAGUCAGAGGUGAAAGCCCAGGGCUCAACCUUGGAAUUGCCUUUGAUACUGGCUAUCUUGAGUACGGAAGAGGUAUGUGGAACUCCGAGUGUAGAGGUGAAAUUCGUAGAUAUUCGGAAGAACACCAGUGGCGAAGGCGACAUACUGGUCCGUUACUGACGCUGAGGCUCGAAAGCGUGGGGAGCAAACAGGAUUAGAUACCCUAGUAGUCCACGCUGUAAACGAUGAGUGCUAGUUGUCGGUCGAGGCGAUGCUGUCGGUGACGCAGCUAUGCAUUAAGACACCUCCGCCGUCGGGAGGUACGGUCGCGAGAAGUUAAACGUAACGUAAAGAAGUUAGAGUCGUUGAGAGUUGCCGACGGCGACGACGAGGGAGGAGG